rnacentral:lncRNA from 1 species
AUGGCUCUUGCACACUUGAGUGAGCUGGAUAAUGAGCCUGGAAAGCCUGUCCUGUGCUUGGCCAGUCCCAGAACCCACCCAGGCAUGAACCACGACUGGAAAUACUCCUCUGUGCUGCCUAGAGAUGCUGCUGUUACCUGGCCCCAGAGCCAGCGCUCCGCAGCCGUGCCUGCCGCCUUCGGGAUUCCUCCUGCCCCUCCUGCCCUCCCCAGCCCAGCCGCAGAGGGGCUGGAAGAGUGGGUGAAGUUGCUCCAACCCCUCCAUCCCCUUCUUCCUUCUCCUCCUCCUCUCUCCCAGGAAAGGUAAGAGAAGCAGUGGCUACUCUCCAGUUGCUCCUGCACCUUU